GAUAAUUUACUACAAUUGCCAUUUUAUGAAACUUUAGUGCUUUGUAUGUUAUGUUUAACAAUUGAAAAGUUGGACAAGUCUUCAUAUCAAAUGCUUCAGUGAAAAAAUCUAACUUGAUUAAAAACACAUAUCUCAAUGGAAAUUGAUUUACUCUAUAUAUUUUUAAAAAUUGAUAUUCUUAGGUUUUAGUCUAUAUGUUUCAUUUUAAUUGUCGUUUGAAUCUUGAACACACA
rnacentral:lncRNA from 1 species